rnacentral:tRNA from 1 species
GUUUUAAUAAUUUAAAAAUAAAAUAUUGAUUUUGUAAAUCAAAAAUAAGAUAAUCACUUUUAAAACU